rnacentral:rRNA from 1 species
UACGUAGGGUGCAAGCGUUGUCCGGAAUUACUGGGCGUAAAGCGUGCGCAGUCGGUUCGCCAAGUCAGGUGUGAAAUCCCCGGGCUUAACCUGGGAAUUGCGCUUGAAACUAGCGGGCUUGAGUGUGGCAGAGGGGGGUGGAAUUCCACGUGUAGCAGUGAAAUGCGUAGAGAUGUGGAGGAACACCGAUGGCGAAGGCAGCCCCCUGGGUCAACACUGACGCUCAUGCACGAAAGCGUGGGGAGCAAACAGG